AACGAACGCUGGCGGCAGGCUUAACACAUGCAAGUCGAACGCACCGCAAGGUGAGUGGCAGACGGGUGAGUAACACGUGGGAACGUACCCUUUGGUUCGGAACAACUCAGGGAAACUUGAGCUAAUACCGGAUAAGCCCUACGGGGGAAAGAUUUAUCGCCGAAGGAUCGGCCCGCGUCUGAUUAGCUAGUUGGUGAGGUAAUGGCUCACCAAGGCGACGAUCAGUAGCUGGUCUGAGAGGAUGAUCAGCCACAUUGGGACUGAGACACGGCCCAAACUCCUACGGGAGGCAGCAGUGGGGAAUAUUGGACAAUGGGCGCAAGCCUGAUCCAGCCAUGCCGCGUGAGUGAUGAAGGCCUUAGGGUUGUAAAGCUCUUUUACCUGGGAAGAUAAUGACUGUACCAGGAGAAUAAGCCCCGGCUAACUUCGUGCCAGCCGCCGCCGUAAAAC
rnacentral:rRNA from 1 species